rnacentral:rRNA from 1 species
GUUGUCAUCAUUCAGUUGGGCACUCUAAGGGGACUGCCGGUGGAUAAGCCGAGAGGAAGGUGGGGAGUGACGUCAAGUCCUCAUGGCCCUUACGGGCUGGGCUACACACGUGCUACAAUGGUGGUGACAGUGGGCAGCGAGACCGCGAGGUCGAGCUAAUCUCCAAAAGCCAUCUCAGUUCGGAUUGCACUCUGCAACUCGAGUGCAUGAAGUUGGAAUCGCUAGUAAUCGCGGAUCAGCAUGCCGCGGUGAAUACGUUCCCGGGCCUU